UGAGAGCUCUUGCAUUUACGUAUCCGCCGCCAUUACUAAGGAUUUCAUUUGAUCCUGAAGGACAUAUAUAUAUAUGGAUCUACUUCGUCUUUGCUUUGUUGUAUCUCUAGUCUUAGAUUUUCGCUUAUAUUCAUUGUUCAAUUAGAUUAAGGCUUUUUUUUUAAUGUGCAGUGUUAUUGCCUGAAUUGAUUACAGCUUUUUUAUUUAUUUCUGAGUUAGGAUUAGAACUUAUGUAUGUGGUACAGAGAGAGAGCAGAUGAUGGGAUACACUUGAUCUCUGAAUUUCACAGUCUAUUUGUCUGGUUCAAGCAAUCAGGUAGCGACAAGUGGAGCAAGUGCGUGCCAUGAUGAAGAAAAGAAGCACCGAUUGCUGUCAUUUGAGAGAUGGAGCAUCAAAGAAUGAAUUCGAUUACUGUUGUUCCAAAGAAUGUUUAUUUUUUUCCUGCAUAACUUGAAAUGUAAUUAUGGUUGAUGUUUACACAAGAAUGAAUCAAUUAUAAAUACAAAUUUUCAUAA